UGGGGGAUAUUGCGCAAUGGGGGAAACCCUGACGCAGCAACGCCGCGUGAAGGACGAAGGUCUUCGGAUUGUAAACUUCUUUUAUUAAGGACGAAAAAUGACGGUACUUAAUGAAUAAGCUCCGGCUAACUACGUGCCAGCAGCCGCGGUAAUACGUAGGGAGCAAGCGUUGUCCGGAUUUACUGGGUGUAAAGGGUGCGUAGGCGGCUAAGCAAGUCAGAUGUGAAAUCUAUGGGCUCAACCCAUAAACUGCAUUUGAAACUGCAUAGCUUGAGUGAAGUAGAGGCAGGCGGAAUUCCCCGUGUAGCGGUGAAAUGCGUAGAGAUGGGGAGGAGCACCAGUGGCGAAGGCGGCCUGCUGGGCUUUAACUGACGCUGAGGCACGAAAGCGUGGGUAGCAAACAGGAUUAGAUACCCUGGUA
rnacentral:rRNA from 1 species